GUAUUCGCGCCUCGUCCUCAUUGCGUUCGCGCAUUUAUCAUUGGUACGACGAACCAGUCAAUCUCACGAAAGCAGUUAGAAACGAACAGGAACGAUUUGAAGCUCGUGUACGCGCACUACGCGCUCCCUUCGCCAGAUGCGCCUUCAACAGUCGUUCCGCAGUUCCGCAGUUCCGCCAAUUCGCAUCUCAUGUGAGCGCACCCUUAACCUGUACAAUGGCCUGCAAGUAGACGCAAACACAGCUGAUUAAGUAUCGAUUAUGUAUCGAAUAAUGCGAAAUGUACGCGCUAGCCUGACUGGCUCAGCCAUGUGGCAUGCUCGUGUAUUUAAUCGUACGCGCGUGUGUGCGUGUGCGAGCCCGAAUCGUCAGAGAAAAACACGUUGCAAAACUUACGAACGAUCGUCCGUGCGAGUCAGUGACUCUCAGGAGGCUCGAGAGCUCCCGCGCGCACAUUAUACAACGUAUCGAUUAUUGUCGAUCGUCAGUUUUCCUGUGGCGGUAAAAAAUACUUAUGCACAAUGCUGCACAGAAGUCGUCACUUGAUGAGAUAUUUUCGGCCUUUCGUGAGGUUUUAUCACGAGGAAGGGUCCGUCAUCGGCAGCACGCCGGAUACCAGCUCGUCGGUUUAUCAGGAGAAUUACAUGCAAAUGAAAAAUCUUAUUGAUCAACUAAAGAACACUGUGGAGAAGAUAGUCCAGGGCGGUGGACAGAAAGCCAAGGACAGACAUGUAAGCAAAGGGAAGCUGUUACCUCGGGAACGCAUAAACACUCUCUUAGAUAAGAAUUCGCCUUUCUUAGAGUUCUCGCAAUUAGCAGGUUACGAUAUGUAUGGCAAGGAUGAAGUGCCAGCAGGUGGACUUAUUACUGGCAUUGGAAGAAUAGAAGGUACUGAAUGUAUGAUAAUUGUAAACGAUGCUACUGUAAAAGGUGGUACUUAUUACCCAGUCACAGUCAAAAAGCAUUUACGAGCUCAGGAAAUUGCAGAGGAAAAUAGAUUACCUUGCAUAUAUCUAAUUGACAGUGGUGGUGCAUAUUUGCCCAAGCAAGCUGACGUGUUUCCUGACAAAAUGCACUUUGGCAGGAGUUUCUAUAAUCAAGCAAACAUGAGUGCCAAAGGAAUAGCUCAAAUCGCAGUGGUUAUGGGAAGUUGCACAGCAGGUGGUGCAUACAUUCCUGCUAUGGCGGACGAAAAUAUCAUUGUUGCCAAUCAAGGUACAAUUUUUCUGGCUGGUCCACCACUGGUAAAGGCUUCGACCGGUGAAGAGGUUUCAGCGGAGGACUUGGGAGGAGCUGCGCUUCAUUGUCGACAAUCCGGCGUAACCGAUCAUUACGCGAUAGACGACACGCAUGCCUUAUAUCUUGCGCGUCAAGUUGUGAAAGAGUUAAAUCUGCAACCACCUAUGGAUGUAAACAUCAAUAAGAAUAUCGAGCUGCCCGUGCACGCCGUCGAUGACAUCUACGGCAUCGUCGGAACGAAUCUGAAACGUCCGUACGAUGUGAAGGAGGUCAUCGCGAGGAUCGUGGACGGGUCGAAAUUCCAUGAAUUUAAAGCGCAAUAUGGCGAAACCUUGGUCACUGGGUUCGCUAGGAUUUACGGCUAUCCUGUUGGCAUAGUCGCAAACAACGGUGUAUUAUUUUCUGAAAGUGCUCUGAAGGGAGCUCAUUUUGUGCAGCUUUGCGCUCAAAGAAAAAUCCCUCUUGUUUUUCUGCAAAAUAUCACAGGGUUUAUGGUGGGUAGAGAUGCAGAAUCGGGAGGAAUCGCUAAAAAUGGUGCUAAAAUGGUAACAGCGGUAGCAUGCGCGCAGGUGCCAAAGAUUACAGUAAUAAUUGGGGGGUCUUAUGGAGCUGGGAAUUACGGGAUGUGUGGUCGAUCUUAUUCCCCACGUUUUCUCUAUUCAUGGCCAAACGCUAGAAUAUCUGUAAUGGGAGGAGAACAAGCAGCGAGCGUAUUAGUGCAAAUCACAAAGGAUCAACGCGCUAGAGAAGGCAAACAGCCACCGCGCUUUCACCGAAACUAUUUCCCGGCAAGGUAGACAUCCGAUGCCCCGUGAUGCUUAACUGACUGAGAUUGCCAAGGACCUGCAGUGCCUCGCGUGGAAAUUUUUCUAGAUUGCUGUUUAUCACGUAGAGCUCCUGAAGAGUUCGGUUCACGCCGAGGAAGCUGUGCUCUUCGAUCACUCUCAGCGGCGUGUCGACGAACUUGAGCACUCGCACGUCCAACGGAUACAGAGCGGGGCCAUAAAAUCGUACUGUGGAUUUGCAAAAAUCGAAUUGUUCACUUAACCGUUCACUUAUCUCGUCAUCCUCCGCAGAAAUAUAUUAACCAGUUCCUCGAUCGGCAUGCCCUCGUUUCCCAGAUUCGUGAAGGCUAGGCUGAGACUGGCCAGAUUUGUAUUCUCACAGCGUAUGUAUAAUCCUCUGUCACUACCCCGAAGACAAGUGCAGGGGUAAAUGUAAAUCGCGUCUUUCGGGCACCUGAACCUCGGUCCGGGUGGCACGUAGCCACCCAUUAUGGACACGACCGUGCCCAAUAGCAAUAGCGGCGAUAACAUUUUAAUCCCUGCUCGAGAGGCACAAACGAAAAGAAAUCUAUUUAACAUUUUCCUAAUUACACAACAUCUUAUAUACUUCCUGUAACAUCUUAUAACAUCUUGCAAUUACAUAACUAAGUGCGUGUAUGUAACAUUAAAUUUUCCUCAAAGAGGCUUAUAAAAACUA